UCAUUUCCAUGCCCUUCUCCCCCAAAUGAGGAUGAUAGUGAGGAACCAAUCAUUGAUCUAGCCCUUGAAGCCUUCGAGGAUCCCAUGGAUCCGUGAACUAUUAUGAGUGCUUUUUUUGUCCCUUACUUUAAUGAGUCCAUUUUUUUUUCUUAGUAUUGUAUGAAUGGAACUCUAUUAUCAUUUUAUAAGGAAUUGUAAUUAUUUAUUUCGCGGCAUACAUUUACCUUAUAUGCACUCGUAUCUGUUUUUAUAUCUGGUACCCUUAUGCUUUAAUUAGCAUUUGGGAUGUCAAAAUAUCUCUUCUCUCUUUCUAAAUGUUUGAAAAGUGAAGAAAGAAGAAUAAUGGGGAGGAAAUUGAGAGGAAGAGGUUUAAAUAUAAAAAAGGAAGGCCGAAUUUGCACCACUUGGUGAAAAUUGACGAAAUAGAGUAGAGAGGUGGUUUUGGGGUCCACCAAGCAUGGCCAAAAGAAAAAGGAGAAAAGAAAGACCAAGAGUGGCCAUUUAAAUGAUAGGACGAGGUUGUCCUAUUGGUGAUAGCACAUCAUUGUGCGCGUGCGCAGGUGGCCACACCAUGCAUUGUGCACGUGCAGGCUGCCAGCUACGUGGGUAGGUGCGCUAUGCUACACACUAUGCACAACCUUACCGUGCGAUGUGCAUGCGUGCCAUGCGCACAGUCGCACGAGAAGGCAAUGCAGUGUACGCGGCCUAUCUAUAGUCGCUAGCUGCAGCGCGCAAGUCGUAGACUGUGGGCCGAGG
rnacentral:lncRNA from 1 species